UACGAAGGGUGCAAGCGUUACUCGGAAUUACUGGGCGUAAAGCGUGCGUAGGUGGUUUGUUAAGUCUGUUGUGAAAGCCCCGGGCUCAACCUGGGAAUGGCAAUGGAUACUGGCAGGCUAGAGUGCGGUAGAGGGUAGUGGAAUUCCCGGUGUAGCGGUGAAAUUCGUAGAUAUUGGGAAGAACACCGGUGGCGAAGGCGGCUCACUGGCUCAUUACUGACGCUCAGGCGCGAUAGCGUGGGGAUCAAACAGG
rnacentral:rRNA from 1 species